CCUACGGGGGGCUGCAGUGGGGAAUAUUGGACAAUGGGCGCAAGCCUGAUCCAGCAAUGCCGCGUGUGUGAAGAAGGUCUUCGGAUUGUAAAGCACUUUCGACAGGGACGAUGAUGACGGUACCUGUAGAAGAAGCCCCGGCUAACUUCGUGCCAGCAGCCGCGGUAAUACGAAGGGGGCUAGCGUUGCUCGGAAUUACUGGGCGUAAAGGGCGCGUAGGCGGCGUGAUCAGUCAGGCGUGAAAUUCCUGGGCUUAACCUGGGGGCUGCGCUUGAUACGGUCGUGCUAGAGGGCAGAAGAGGGUCGUGGAAUUCCCAGUGUAGAGGUGAAAUUCGUAGAUAUUGGGAAGAACACCGGUGGCGAAGGCGGCGACCUGGUCUGUUACUGACGCUGAGGCGCGAAAGCGUGGGGAGCAAACAGGAUUAGAUACCCAAGUAGUC
rnacentral:rRNA from 1 species